CGUCACAGCCGUAUCACCCUGCAGCCAAAGACCGGCUACUCACUGAAGCUAAGCAGGGCUGAGCCUGGUCAGUACCUGCAUUGGAGACCACAUGGGAACACUAGGUUGCUGUUGAAA
rfam:Danio rerio chromosome 11, GRCz11 reference primary assembly.